GACGAACGCUGGCGGCGUGCUUAACACAUGCAAGUCGAACGGAAAGGCCCCUUUGGGGGUACUCGAGUGGCGAACGGGUGAGUAACACGUGAGUAACCUGCCCUUGACUUCGGGAUAACUUCAGGAAACUGGGGCUAAUACCGGAUAGGAAUCCUUGCUGCAUGGUGGGGGUUGGAAAGCUUCGGCGGUUUUGGAUGGACUCGCGGCUUAUCAGCUUGUUGGUGGGGUAGUGGCUUACCAAGGCUUUGAGGGGUAGCCGGCCUGAGAGGGCGACCGGCCACAUUGGGACUGAGAUACGGCCCAGACUCCUACGGGAGGCAGCAGGGGGGAAUAUUGCACAAUGGGCGGAAGCCUGAUGCAGCAACGCCGCGUGCGGGAUGACGGCCUUCGGGUUGUAAACCGCUUUCAGCAGGGGCGAAGCUUGUGGUGACGGUACCUGCAGAAGAAGCACCGGCUAACUACGUG
rnacentral:rRNA from 1 species